ACCUGGCACAGCUCUGUCCCGGGAUGAAGUCCAGGCUGGGCUUCCCACCUUCGAGGGGCCUUGCCCCCCAACACUUAGCAUCUCCUGCAGCAGAAGGCGGUUCCUCUCCACGCGGUCAGACAGGGACAAGGUGCUGCCCCCGGUGCCCAGGGCCCCCAGGUCUCCAGCUCUCCAGAGCUCCCCCAGCAGGGCUGGCCUGGGGACGAAGUCCUCCUCAGACGUCAGAGACAAGCUGUCCAGGUCUUCCUGUGUGACGAGACCAUCCUGCAGGGGGUAUGACCUUCCUUUCCUCAGGCUUGUCCUGUGGGCGGUUUUGUUACAAGGACCAGAGCCUUCAGGCUGGCUUGGAGUGACUCUGUGCAUGGGGCUCUCUUGCAAAGAGCUGGGCCCUGGCGGCAGAGCCCUGUCGUGGUCAGGCAGUGUCCGUACCGCUUCUGGAGGCCACGGGCUCCUCCUGUUCCAGCUCUGGAGCCCAGAGGCAGGCGACCUGGGAGGCCCGGGGGCCCCGUUCCUGGCGGACUCCUCCUCAGUGAUGCUGCUGUCCAGCAGCCCGUCGUUUGGGUUCUGAGCGUGAUGGACCACCACGGCAUCAGAGAAGGGGCCAUGUGAGGACAGCGAGAAGGCAGCCGUCUGCAAGCCAAGCAGUUAGGCUUCCAGAGAAACCAAAUCCGCUAACACCUUGAUCUCUACUACCACUUCAGGACAAUGAGAAAUAUAUUUCUGUUAUUUAAGCUACCCAGUGUGUGGUAUUUUGUUAUGGUAGCCCUAGCAGACCAAGACAAUUUACCCAAUUUGUUUAUCCAUUCACCUGUUGAUGGACAUUUGGUUGUUUCCAGUUUUUUUGCAUUGUGAAUAAAGCUGCUAUUAACAUUCAUA